rnacentral:lncRNA from 1 species
UUAAAUAAUCAAACAGUUCAAUAAAAUUAUAAAAUCAAAAUAAGAAUGUAAACAGAGAAUUUUAUUCCAACAAAUCGUAUAUAAAUAAAUAACAAAAGAAUCAGCUUAACAUUGGAAUUAUGACAGGAAAAUAUAACGACAAUACAAAGCAAUAAUGGGCAAAGCGCAUCUCUGUUCAAACUCGAAAAAACAUGGACUUCUCGAGUACGAAAUUACCAGGACCGAAAUCAUUGCCUCAACAGAGAUAAGAUUGAAACAAGCAGAGAUGUUGCAAUGAAAGCACCGGAAACUGGCAGAGAGAACGCGGUUCCGGCGUCCGGUCCGGUGACAGAGCAGUCUCCUGUGCAGAGGAAGCAACAGCAGAAAGGAGGACGGCGAGAACCAAGACUUGGAUCGUAAUGCUAUUUUGAGCCAUCUCUGAGAACUUUGAUCAGAAAAUGGAAGUUUGUUUAAGUUAAGCGAACCGUGUUGUGCUAAAAUAGAAACUUGAUUUGAAUUGGUGAGGAAAACAGGUUGUAAGGGUUUAUUUAUAUAGGAGUGGAGCGACCGGUUUGUAG